AUGGCACAUACCUAUUGAAGUUAAAGACUAAUUCUCAAACAGGUGUGGUUCUGGUCAGGGUCCUGUUAUUGAAGUUAUUGCUAGACGUUAGUCUUCAUAUGGUCUGGAGACCUUUAUAUCAAGAAUUUACCUCAGUUGCCAAUUAGGCUCUUCACUAGGUCUAUGUCGUGUCCUCUUCUUGCCAUUAGGCUCUUAAAUCUUAGAAUGCACCAAUCAUGGUUAGUGCAUCUUUAUUUUGGAUGAUUUCUCUACCUUUUCUUCUUGAUUUAUAUAUUAUGUACCUGUAAUUUAUUUUUCGUAAGUAUUUAUGAUUGUCCAAGAGAUAGAGAAGGCAACUAAAAAGAGGAAGAAGCAAUUCCUCUUCUCACUAACACAAGGCUGCUUUACCGCGGGAAGACAGGCUGUGAAAAUGGAAGGAGUUCCUUGACAUAGAAUGGAGCAGCACUCCACACUCGUGCCUAGAAUUACUGAUAUUUGUAUAUAUGUAACUAGGCUGCCAACUUUGAAUUUUAUCCUAUGUUGUAUGACGUAUAUUGCUACCGGUGACUUCAUGAUCACCCUGAUGUACAAAAAAUGUACCAGUUCUA